CAGCGCCACGGGAAUACGAAGGGUGCAAGCGUUAAUCGGAAUUAUUGGGCGUAAAGGGCGCGUAGGCGGUUUGACAAGUCUGAUGUGAAAUCUCUGGGCUCAACCCAGAGUCUGCAUCGGAAACUGUCGAGCUUGAGUAUGGGAGAGGUGAGUGGAAUUUCCGGUGUAGCGGUGAAAUGCGUAGAUAUCGGGAGGAACACCUGUGGCGAAAGCGGCUCACUGGACCAUUACUGACGCUGAGGCGCGAAAGCUAGGGGAGCAAACAGGAUUAGAUACCCCGGUAGUCCCUGUCUCUUAUACA
rnacentral:rRNA from 1 species